GAUGAACGCUGGCGGCGUGCCUAAUACAUGCAAGUCGAGCGAACAGACGAGGAGCUUGCUCCUCUGACGUUAGCGGCGGACGGGUGAGUAACACGUGGAUAACCUACCUAUAAGACUGGGAUAACUUCGGGAAACCGGAGCUAAUACCGGAUAACAUGUUGAACCGCAUGGUUCAACAGUGAAAGACGGUCUUGCUGUCACUUAUAGAUGGAUCCGCGCCGCAUUAGCUAGUUGGUAAGGUAACGGCUUACCAAGGCAACGAUGCGUAGCCGACCUGAGAGGGUGAUCGGCCACACUGGAACUAAGACACGGUCCAGACUCCUACGGGAGGCAGCAGUAGGGAAUCUUCCGCAAUGGGCGAAAUCCUGACGGAGCAACGCCGCGUGAGUGAAGAAGGUCUUCGGAUCGUAAAACUCUGUUAUUAGGGAAGAACAAAUGUGUAAGUAACUAUGCACGUCUUGACGGUACCUAAUCAGAAAGCCACGGCUAACUACGUG
rnacentral:rRNA from 1 species